CAGCAGCCGCGGUAAAACGGAGGGGGCUAGCGUUGUUCGGAAUUACUGGGCGUAAAGCGCACGUAGGCGGCUUUGUAAGUUAGAGGUGAAAUCCCGGGGCUCAACCCCGGAACUGCCUUUGAUACUGGGAGUCUUGAGUUCGAGAGAGGUGAGUGGAAUUGCGAGUGUAGAGGUGAAAUUCGUAGAUAUUCGCAGGAACACCAGUGGCGAAGGCGGCUCACUGGCUCGAUACUGACGCUGAGGUGCGAAAGCGUGGGAAGCAAACAGGAUUAGAUACCCGGGUAGUCCCUGUCUCUUAUAC
rnacentral:rRNA from 1 species